rnacentral:rRNA from 1 species
AUACCUUCAUCUUCACUUAACCCCUUCUUAACAAAGAGCAAUUCUAUAUCUCUAUAGAAAAUUUUAUGUUAAAACUAGUAAUAAGAAGCUAGCCCUUCUCUUUAAUGCAAACUUACAUCAGCCAGGACACCCCACUGAUUAUUAACGUCCCUAAAACCAUUGUAAUAACUAAUCAAGAAAAUAUUACCUUCUCCUACGUUAACCUAACACAAGAGCAUUUUAAGAAAGAUUAAAAGAAAAAGAAGGAACUCGGCAAAUUUUAGCCUCGCCUGUUUACCAAAAACAUCGCCUCUUGAGUACUAAUAAGAGGUCAUGCCUGCCCAGUGACUCUGUUCAACGGCCGCGGUAUCCUAACCGUGCGAAGGUAGCGUAAUCACUUGUUCUUUAAAUGAGGACUAGUAUGAAUGGCCCCACGAAGGCUACACUGUCUCCUUUUUCUAAUCAAUGAAACUAAUCUUCUCGUGAAGAAGCGAGAAUAAUUUUAUAAGACGAGAAGACCCUAUGGAGCUUUAAACAACUGAAAUAUUUGCUUUAACUUUAUAUUCUUCCCGAGUUUUUCCUGCAUUCAAGCAUUUUAAUUUCUAGUUUUAGGUUGGGGUGACCACGGAGCAAAAUUUAACCUCCAUGACGAAUAAAGCAUUUUCCUUUAAACUAAAAGCUACUACUUUAAGCAUCAACAAAUUGACUUUCAUUGACCCAAUAUUUUGAUCAACGAACCAAGUUACCCUAGGGAUAACAGCGCAAUCUACUUCGAGAGCUCAUAUCGACAAGUAGGUUUACGACCUCGAUGUUGGAUCAGGGUAUCCCAGUGGUGCAGCCGCUACUAAAGGUUCGUUUGUUCAACGAUUAAAACC